rnacentral:rRNA from 1 species
GACGAACGCUGGCGGCGUGCUUAACACAUGCAAGUCGAACGGAAAGGCCCUGCUUUUGUGGGGUGCUCGAGUGGCGAACGGGUGAGUAACACGUGAGUAAUCUGCCCUUGACUUUGGGAUAACUUCAGGAAACUGGGGCUAAUACCGGAUAGGAGCUCCUGCUGCAUGGUGGGGGUUGGAAAGUUUCGGCGGUUGGGGAUGGACUCGCGGCUUAUCAGCUUGUUGGUGGGGUAGUGGCUUACCAAGGCUUUGACGGGUAGCCGGCCUGAGAGGGUGACCGGCCACAUUGGGACUGAGAUACGGCCCAGACUCCUACGGGAGGCAGCAGUGGGGAAUAUUGCACAAUGGGCGGAAGCCUGAUGCAGCAACGCCGCGUGCGGGAUGACGGCCUUCGGGUUGUAAACCGCUUUCGCCUGUGACGAAGCGUGAGUGACGGUAAUGGGUAAAGAAGCACCGGCUAACUACGUG